rnacentral:rRNA from 1 species
AGUGAACGCUGGCGGUAGGCCUAACACAUGCAAGUCGAACGGCAGCACAGUAAGAGCUUGCUCUUACGGGUGGCGAGUGGCGGACGGGUGAGGAAUACAUCGGAAUCUACUUUUUCGUGGGGGAUAACGUAGGGAAACUUACGCUAAUACCGCAUACGACCUACGGGUGAAAGCAGGGGAUCUUCGGACCUUGCGCGAUUGAAUGAGCCGAUGUCGGAUUAGAUAGUUGGCGGGGUAAAGGCCCACCAAGGCGACGAUCCGUAGCUGGUCUGAGAGGAUGAUCAGCCACACUGGAACUGAGACACGGUCCAGACUCCUACGGGAGGCAGCAGUGGGGAAUAUUGGACAAUGGGCGCAAGCCUGAUCCAGCCAGACCGCGUGUGUGAAGAAGGCCUUCGGGUUGUAAAGCCCUUUUGUUGGGAAAGAAAAGCAGCAGGUUAAUACCCCGCUGUUCUGACGGUACCCAAAGAAUAAGCACCGGCUAACUUCGUG